rnacentral:rRNA from 1 species
CUACGCACUCCUACGGGAGGCAGGCAGUGGGGGAAUAUUGCACAAUGGGCGCAAGCCUGAUGCAGCCAUGCCGCGUGUAUGAAGAAGGCCUUCGGGUUGUAAAGUACUUUCAGCAGUGAGGAAGGUGGGUAUGUUAAUAGCAUAUUCAUUUGACGUUAGCUGCAGAAGAAGCACCGGCUAACUCCGUGCCAGCAGCCGCGGUAAUACGGAGGUGCGAGCGUUAAUCGGAAUUACUGGGCGUAAAGCGCAUGCAGGUGGUUUGUUAAGUCAGAUGUGAAAGCCCGGGGCUCAACCUCGGAAUUGCAUUUGAAACUGGCAAACUAGAGUACUGUAGAGGGGGUAGAAUUUCAGGUGUAGCGGUGAAAUGCGUAGAGAUCUGAAGGAAUACCGGUGGCGAAGGCGGCCCCCCUGGACAGAUACUGACACUCAGAUGCGAAAGCGUGGGGAGCAAACAGGAUUAGAUACCCUGGUAG